UCUCCGUAGGUGAACCUACGGAGGGAUCAUUACUGAGUGGGGGCUCACGCCCGACCUCCAACCCUUUGUGAACACAUCUUGUUGCUUCGGGGGCGACCCUGCCGGCACUCUGUCGCCGGGCGCCCCCGAAGGUCUCCAAACACUGCAUCGUUGCGUCGGAGUUUAAAACAAAUUAAACAAAACUUUCAACAACGGAUCUCUUGGGUCUGGCAUCGAUGAAGAACGCAGC
rnacentral:misc_RNA from 1 species